UUUUUUCUAAUAUUUUUUUUGUUUUUCAGCAGCAAAUAGGUUAUUUUUAUGAAUGUCAAUUCCACCUAUUUUGGUAGAAUUGAGAUUUUUAAAAUUUAGGCUUAAAAUGAGCUAUAAAAAAUCCCACAAAAUUCUCAAUUCCAGCAUAAAGUCAAUUCUAAGCUAACCAAGCACACACUGUUGGCCCAACUUUUCUAGGAAAAGUGAUUCCUAGAAUCUGAAUCCAAU
rnacentral:lncRNA from 1 species